rnacentral:rRNA from 1 species
GGUUAAGCGACUAAGCGUACACGGUGGAUGCCCUGGCAGUCAGAGGCGAUGAAGGACGUGCUAAUCUGCGAUAAGCGUCGGUGAGGUGAUAUGAACCGUUAUAACCGGCGAUUUCCGAAUGGGGAAACCCAGUGUGUUUCGACACACUAUCAUUAACUGAAUCCAUAGGUUAAUGAGGCGAACCGGGGGAACUGAAACAUCUAAGUACCCCGAGGAAAAGAAAUCAACCGAGAUUCCCCCAGUAGCGGCGAGCGAACGGGGAGGAGCCCAGAGCCUGAAUCAGUGUGUGUGUUAGUGGAAGCGUCUGGAAAGGCGCGCGAUACAGGGUGACAGCCCCGUACACAAAAAUGCACAUAUUGUGAGCUCGAUGAGUAGGGCGGGACACGUGGUAUCCUGUCUGAAUAUGGGGGGACCAUCCUCCAAGGCUAAAUACUCCUGACUGACCGAUAGUGAACCAGUACCGUGAGGGAAAGGCGAAAAGAACCCCGGCGAGGGGAGUGAAAAAGAACCUGAAACCGUGUACGUACAAGCAGUGGGAGCCUCUUAAUGGGGUGACUGCGUACCUUUUGUAUAAUGGGUCAGCGACUUAUAUUCUGUAGCAAGGUUAACCGAAUAGGGGAGCCGAAGGGAAACCGAGUCUUAACUGGGCGUUAAGUUGCAGGGUAUAGACCCGAAACCCGGUGAUCUAGCCAUGGGCAGGUUGAAGGUUGGGUAACACUAACUGGAGGACCGAACCGACUAAUGUUGAAAAAUUAGCGGAUGACUUGUGGCUGGGGGUGAAAGGCCAAUCAAACCGGGAGAUAGCUGGUUCUCCCCGAAAGCUAUUUAGGUAGCGCCUCGUGAAUUCAUCUCCGGGGGUAGAGCACUGUUUCGGCAAGGGGGUCAUCCCGACUUACCAACCCGAUGCAAACUGCGAAUACCGGAGAAUGUUAUCACGGGAGACACACGGCGGGUGCUAACGUCCGUCGUGAAGAGGGAAACAACCCAGACCGCCAGCUAAGGUCCCAAAGUCAUGGUUAAGUGGGAAACGAUGUGGGAAGGCCCAGACAGCCAGGAUGUUGGCUUAGAAGCAGCCAUCAUUUAAAGAAAGCGUAAUAGCUCACUGGUCGAGUCGGCCUGCGCGGAAGAUGUAACGGGGCUAAACCAUGCACCGAAGCUGCGGCAGCGACACUAUGUGUUGUUGGGUAGGGGAGCGUUCUGUAAGCCUGUGAAGGUGGCCUGUGAGGGUUGCUGGAGGUAUCAGAAGUGCGAAUGCUGACAUAAGUAACGAUAAAGCGGGUGAAAAGCCCGCUCGCCGGAAGACCAAGGGUUCCUGUCCAACGUUAAUCGGGGCAGGGUGAGUCGACCCCUAAGGCGAGGCCGAAAGGCGUAGUCGAUGGGAAACAGGUUAAUAUUCCUGUACUUGGUGUUACUGCGAAGGGGGGACGGAGAAGGCUAUGUUGGCCGGGCGACGGUUGUCCCGGUUUAAGCGUGUAGGCUGGUUUUCCAGGCAAAUCCGGAAAACCAAGGCUGAGGCGUGAUGACGAGGCACUACGGUGCUGAAGCGACAAAUGCCCUGCUUCCAGGAAAAGCCUCUAAGCAUCAGGUAACAUCAAAUCGUACCCCAAACCGACACAGGUGGUCAGGUAGAGAAUACCAAGGCGCUUGAGAGAACUCGGGUGAAGGAACUAGGCAAAAUGGUGCCGUAACUUCGGGAGAAGGCACGCUGAUAUGUAGGUGAAGCGACUUGCUCGUGGAGCUGAAAUCAGUCGAAGAUACCAGCUGGCUGCAACUGUUUAUUAAAAACACAGCACUGUGCAAACACGAAAGUGGACGUAUACGGUGUGACGCCUGCCCGGUGCCGGAAGGUUAAUUGAUGGGGUUAGCGGUAACGCGAAGCUCUUGAUCGAAGCCCCGGUAAACGGCGGCCGUAACUAUAACGGUCCUAAGGUAGCGAAAUUCCUUGUCGGGUAAGUUCCGACCUGCACGAAUGGCGUAAUGAUGGCCAGGCUGUCUCCACCCGAGACUCAGUGAAAUUGAACUCGCUGUGAAGAUGCAGUGUACCCGCGGCAAGACGGAAAGACCCCGUGAACCUUUACUAUAGCUUGACACUGAACAUUGAGCCUUGAUGUGUAGGAUAGGUGGGAGGCUUUGAAGUGUGGACGCCAGUCUGCAUGGAGCCGACCUUGAAAUACCACCCUU